rnacentral:rRNA from 1 species
UACGUAGGGACCGAGCGUUGUCCGGAUUCAUUGGGCGUAAAGAGCUCGUAGGCGGCUGCUCAAGUCGAAUGUGAAAACUCGAGGCUCAACCUCGAGCCUGCAUUCGAUACUGGGCGGCUAGAGUCUGGUAGGGGGAUCUGGAAUUCCUGGUGUAGCGGUGGAAUGCGCAGAUAUCAGGAGGAACACCAGUGGCGAAGGCGACUCUCUGGUCUGUAACUGACGCUGAGGCGCGAAAGCGUGGGGAGCAAACAGG